GACGAACGCUGGCGGCGCGCCUAACACAUGCAAGUCGAACGGAGCUGAGAGGAGCUUGCUUUUCUUAGCUUAGUGGCGAACGGGUGAGUAACGCGUGAGUAACCUGCCCUGGAGUGGGGGACAACAGUUGGAAACGACUGCUAAUACCGCAUAAGCCCACGGUGCUGCAUGGCACUGCGGGAAAAGGAUUUAUUCGCUCUAGGAUGGACUCGCGUCCAAUUAGCUAGUUGGUGAGGUAACGGCCCACCAAGGCGACGAUUGGUAGCCGGACUGAGAGGUUGAACGGCCACAUUGGGACUGAGACACGGCCCAGACUCCUACGGGAGGCAGCAGUGGGGGAUAUUGCACAAUGGGGGAAACCCUGAUGCAGCGACGCCGCGUGGAGGAAGAAGGUUUUCGGAUUGUAAACUCCUGUCGUUAGGGACGAUAAUGACGGUACCUAACAAGAAAGCACCGGCUAACUACGUGCCAGCCGCCGCCGUAAGAC
rnacentral:rRNA from 1 species